UACGUAGGGCGCAAGCGUUGUCCGGAAUUAUUGGGCGUAAAGAGCUCGUAGGCGGUCUGUCGCGUCUGCCGUGAAAACCCGAGGCUUAACCUCGGGCCUGCAGUGGGUACGGGCAGACUAGAGUGCGGUAGGGGAGAUUGGAAUUCCUGGUGUAGCGGUGGAAUGCGCAGAUAUCAGGAGGAACACCAAUGGCGAAGGCAGAUCUCUGGGCCGUAACUGACGCUGAGGAGCGAAAGCGUGGGGAGCGAACAGG
rnacentral:rRNA from 1 species